GCCCUAAUAGUAUAAUUAUUACUUUGGUCUUGUAAACCAAGAAUGAAGACUUAAAUCUUCUUAGAGC
rnacentral:tRNA from 1 species